rnacentral:rRNA from 1 species
GGGCCCGCACAAGCGGUGGAGUAUGUGGUUUAAUUCGAUGCAACGCGAAGAACCUUACCAGGGUUUGACAUCCUGCGAAUCUCUUGGAAACGAGAGAGUGCCUUCGGGAACGCAGUGACAGGUGGUGCAUGGCUGUCGUCAGCUCGUGUCGUGAGAUGUUGGGUUAAGUCCCGCAACGAGCGCAACCCACGUCGUUAGUUGCCAGCAUUUUAGUUGGGCACUCUAGCGAGACCGCCGGUGAUAAACCGGAGAAGGUGUGGAUGACGUCAAGUCAUCAUGCCCCUUACAUCUGGGCUACACACGUACUACAAUGCUACGGACAAAGGGCAGCAAACUCGCGAGAGCUAGCAAAUCCCAUAAACGUGGCUCAG